UCAGGCGGGAUUACCCGCUGAGUUUAA
rnacentral:rRNA from 2 species